rnacentral:rRNA from 1 species
UACGUAGGGGGCUAGCGUUGUCCGGAAUCAUUGGGCGUAAAGCGCGUGUAGGCGGUCCGGUAAGUCCGCUGUGAAAGUCAAGGGCUCAACCCUUGAAUGCCGGUGGAUACUGUCGGGCUAGAGUCCGGAAGAGGCGAGUGGAAUUCCUGGUGUAGCGGUGAAAUGCGCAGAUAUCAGGAGGAACACCUAUUGCGAAGGCAGCUCGCUGGGACGUAACUGACGCUGAGACGCGAAAGCGUGGGGAGCAAACAGG